rnacentral:rRNA from 1 species
UACGUAGGGAGCAAGCGUUGUCCGGAUUUAUUGGGCGUAAAGAGCUCGUAGGCGGCUCAGAAAGUCAGGUGUGAAAACUCUGGGCUUAACCCAGAGACGCCACUUGAUACUUCUAUGGCUUGAGUUCGGUAGGGGACCAUGGAAUUCCUGGUGUAGCGGUGAAAUGCGCAGAUAUCAGGAGGAACACCGAUGGCGAAGGCAGUGGUCUGGGCCGAUACUGACGCUGAGGAGCGAAAGCGUGGGGAGCGAACAGG